CCUACGGGAGGCAGCAGUGAGGAAUAUUGGUCAAUGGUCGGGAGACUGAACCAGCCAAGCCGCGUGAGGGAUGAAGGUACAGAGUAUCGUAAACCUCUUUUGUCAGGGAACAAAGGCGGGGACGUGUCCCCGGAUGAGUGUACCUGAAGAAAAAGCAUCGGCUAACUCCGUGCCAGCAGCCGCGGUAAUACGGAGGAUGCGAGCGUUAUCCGGAUUUAUUGGGUUUAAAGGGGGCGCAGGGGGUCUGUUAAGUCAGCGGUCAAAGCCCGGGGCUCAACCCCAGCCCUGCCGUUGAAACUGGCAGUCUUGAGUAGGAGAGAAGUAUGCGGAAUGCGCGGUGUAGCGGUGAAAUGCAUAGAUAUCGCGCAGAACUCCGAUUGCGAAGGCAGCAUGCCGGCUCCACACUGACGCUGAGGCACGAAAGCGUGGGUAUCCAACAGGAUUAGAUACCCUUGUAGUC
rnacentral:rRNA from 1 species